rnacentral:rRNA from 1 species
AUAAUGGGUCAGCGACUUAUAUUCUGUAGCAAGGUUAACCGAAUAGGGGAGCCGAAGGGAAACCGAGUCUUAACUGGGCGUUAAGUUGCAGGGUAUAGACCCGAAACCCGGUGAUCUAGCCAUGGGCAGGUUGAAGGUUGGGUAACACUAACUGGAGGACCGAACCGACUAAUGUUGAAAAAUUAGCGGAUGACUUGUGGCUGGGGGUGAAAGGCCAAUCAAACCGGGAGAUAGCUGGUUCUCCCCGAAAGCUAUUUAGGUAGCGCCUCGUGAAUUCAUCUCCGGGGGUAGAGCACUGUUUCGGCAAGGGGGUCAUCCCGACUUACCAACCCGAUGCAAACUGCGAAUACCGGAGAAUGUUAUCACGGGAGACACACGGCGGGUGCUAACGUCCGUCGUGAAGAGGGAAACAACCCAGACCGCCAGCUAAGGUCCCAAAGUCAUGGUUAAGUGGGAAACGAUGUGGGAAGGCCCAGACAGCCAGGAUGUUGGCUUAGAAGCAGCCAUCAUUUAAAGAAAGCGUAAUAGCUCACUGGUCGAGUCGGCCUGCGCGGAAGAUGUAACGGGGCUAAACCAUGCACCGAAGCUGCGGCAGCGACACUAUGUGUUGUUGGGUAGGGGAGCGUUCUGUAAGCCUGUGAAGGUGUACUGUGAGGUAUGCUGGAGGUAUCAGAAGUGCGAAUGCUGACAUAAGUAACGAUAAAGCGGGUGAAAAGCCCGCUCGCCGGAAGACCAAGGGUUCCUGUCCAACGUUAAUCGGGGCAGGGUGAGUCGACCCCUAAGGCGAGGCCGAAAGGCGUAGUCGAUGGGAAACAGGUUAAUAUUCCUGUACUUGGUGUUACUGCGAAGGGGGGACGGAGAAGGCUAUGUUGGCCGGGCGACGGUUGUCCCGGUUUAAGCGUGUAGGCUGGUUUUCCAGGCAAAUCCGGAAAACUAAGGCUGAGGCGUGAUGACGAGGCACUACGGUGCUGAAGCAACAAAUGCCCUGCUUCCAGGAAAAGCCUCUAAGCAUCAGGUAACAUCAAAUCGUACCCCAAACCGACACAGGUGGUCAGGUAGAGAAUACCAAGGCGCUUGAGAGAACUCGGGUGAAGGAACUAGGCAAAAUGGUGCCGUAACUUCGGGAGAAGGCACGCUGAUAUGUAGGUGAAGUCCCUCGCGGAUGGAGCUGAAAUCAGUCGAAGAUACCAGCUGGCUGCAACUGUUUAUUAAAAACACAGCACUGUGCAAACACGAAAGUGGACGUAUACGGUGUGACGCCUGCCCGGUGCCGGAAGGUUAAUUGAUGGGGUUAGCGCAAGCGAAGCUCUUGAUCGAAGCCCCGGUAAACGGCGGCCGUAACUAUAACGGUCCUAAGGUAGCGAAAUUCCUUGUCGGGUAAGUUCCGACCUGCACGAAUGGCGUAAUGAUGGCCAGGCUGUCUCCACCCGAGACUCAGUGAAAUUGAACUCGCUGUGAAGAUGCAGUGUACCCGCGGCAAGACGGAAAGACCCCGUGAACCUUUACUAUAGCUUGACACUGAACAUUGAGCCUUGAUG